rnacentral:rRNA from 1 species
UACGAAGGGGGCUAGCGUUGCUCGGAAUUACUGGGCGUAAAGCGCACGUAGGCGGCUUUCUAAGUCGGAGGUGAAAUCCUGGAGCUCAACUCCAGAACUGCCUUCGAUACUGGAGAGCUUGAGUCCGGGAGAGGUGAGUGGAACUGCGAGUGUAGAGGUGAAAUUCGUAGAUAUUCGCAAGAACACCAGUGGCGAAGGCGGCCCACUGGCCCGGUACUGACGCUGAGGUGCGAAAGCGUGGGGAGCAAACAGG